CGUUUUACAUCUUCGAAGUGAGGGCCGUUGUGGCAGGCUGUGGUCCUGGUGAACCUCAUUCGUGUCCAGUAAAAACAAAAGAGGAGCCCCCGUCCGCCCCAGUGUCGCUGAGAGUGACAGCAAAUACAGCGAAGAGCCUGAGCAUCGCAUGG